rnacentral:rRNA from 1 species
CACGAAACGACAGGAGCUAAGAAAUACAUGUAAUAGCGAGAAAGUGUUGCAAAAUAUAAAGAGUGCUUCUUAGGGGUGAAAGGCCUCACAAAUGUUGAGAUAGCUUGUUUUUCCUGAAAUCUAUUUAGUAUAAUACAAAUCUAAGGUGCCAAUAUCUUAGAUUUAAAAUUAACCUCUUGGGGAAUUAAUCAUCAGGGGUAAAAACAUAUGAAUGAUUAUCAUAAUAUUAAUUUACUAGGUUUAUUUACACUAAGGAAAAAUAUUUUAAUGAUAAUAUUUAUUUAUAAUGUUAAUAUAAGUAAGUAUUAAAGUAUACUUAAUGAACUCGGCUAAAAUUUCUCGACUGUUUAUCAAAAACAUAACCAGAUGUUAAUAUAUUUGGCGUUUUCUGCUCAAUGACAUAAUUAAAUAGCCGCAGUACCUUGACUGUGCAAAGGUAGCAUAAUCAGUUGGCUCAUAAUUGGAGUCUAGAAUGAAAGGAUGUACGGGAAAUUACUGUAUCAAGUAUUUUUAAUGAAAUUGGGUUUCAAGUGCAAAUGCUUGUAACUAAUUGUUAGACGAGAAGACCCUAGAAAUUUGUACAUUUGUUUGGUUGGGGCAACAUAGUAGGAGCUAACCUACAAUAGUGACAAGAAAUUAAUUAGUAAGAAUAAAUUACUCUAGGGAUAACAGCAUAAUUUAUAAAAGUUUGUGACCUCGAUGUUGGAUUUGGGACUUAUAGUUUAGAA